AUGGCACCACAUUUAUUGGAAGAAAGACUGCAACUGGGGAGGAAGAGUCUCACAGAGCUCCCCCAGAGGGAAGUAGUCUGCAAGUUGAAAAAAUAUCCUGAAAGAGGGCAACAGCAUAUUUUCUAUUGGAUCUCUUUCUUCUGAAUAUAAUAGCCAUCCAGUGCUGAGUGCCAAAUGUGAGUAUCAUCACAUCACGUUUCAGUGAUGGUUAUUUCAUCAUAUUUGACUUCCAUUUUGAAUCUUCCAUUUCUAAUCUAAUUUCCCAUACUCUCUGUGCAACUGUACAAACACCUGAGGUUUUCAGCGUUAUCAUCUCCUGGCAUCUCUGUUAGAGUGUCCUGCCAAACUGCAUUUUAUCUUCCCUUGGCCUGUUCAUAGAGGAAUUGCUGUGAUGAAUAGCACAGAUGUUACCCAGAAAGCAAACUGGUGAGGCUAUUCCCUGCCAACACCUCUAACCACCAGUAUGUGUAUGUGUGUGUGCGCGCACGCAUGCGCGCAAAGCAGGAGCAACGUCGUCAUAAUAAAACAAUUGAUAAUAUGCAACAUCUUAAAUGAGAAUAAGACAGCUUUUAUGUGUUAUUUAUGAAACACCCAAAAUACUAGAAACAAUGGCAAAGAAGUGCAGUGUCAUAUUUUAAUUAAAC